CAGUCGCCGCGGGAACACGUAGGGGGCAAGCGUUAUCCGGAAUUACUGGGUGUAAAGGGAGCGUAGGCGGUUAAACAAGUCUGAAGUGAAAUGCCGGGGCUCAACCCCGGAGCUGCUUUGGGAACUGUAGAACUGGAGUGUCGGAGGGGUAAGCGGAAUUCCCAGUGUAGCGGUGAAAUGCGUAGAUAUUGGGAGGAACACCGGCGGCGAAGGCGGCUUACUGGACGACAACUGACGUUGAGGCUCGAAGGCGUGGGUAGCAAACAGGAUUAGAUACCCCUGUAGUCCCUGUCUCUUAUAC
rnacentral:rRNA from 1 species